GAUGAACGCUGGCGGCGUGCCUAAUACAUGCAAGUCGAGCGAACAGACGAGGAGCUUACUCCUCUGACGUUAGCGGCGGACGGGUGAGUAACACGUGGAUAACCUACCUAUAAGACUGGGAUAACUUCGGGAAACCGGAGCUAAUACCGGAUAACAUGUUGAACCGCAUGGUUCAACAGUGAAAGACGGUCUUGCUGUCACUUAUAGAUGGAUCCGCGUCGCAUUAGCUAGUUGGUAAGGUAACGGCUUACCAAGGCAACGAUGCGUAGCCGACCUGAGAGGGUGAUCGGCCACACUGGAACUGAGACACGGUCCAGACUCCUACGGGAGGCAGCAGUAGGGAAUCUUCCGCAAUGGGCGAAAGCCUGACGGAGCAACGCCGCGUGAGUGAAGAAGGUCUUCGGAUCGUAAAACUCUGUUAUUAGGGAAGAACAAAUGUGUAAGUAACUAUGCACGUCUUGACGGUACCUAAUCAGAAGGCCAGGGCUAACUACGUG
rnacentral:rRNA from 1 species